AUUGAACGCUGGCGGCAUGCCUUACACAUGCAAGUCGAACGGCAGCACGGGAGCAAUCCUGGUGGCGAGUGGCGAACGGGUGAGUAAUACAUCGGAACGUGCCCAGUAGUGGGGGAUAGCCCGGCGAAAGCCGGAUUAAUACCGCAUACGACCUGAGGGUGAAAGCGGGGGAUCGCAAGACCUCGCGCUAUUGGAGCGGCCGAUGUCGGAUGAGCUAGUUGGUGGGGUAAAGGCUCACCAAGGAAACGAUCCGUAGCUGGUCUGAGAGGACGACCAGCCACACUGGGACUGAGACACGGCCCAGACUCCUACGGGAGGCAGCAGUGGGGAAUUUCGGACAAUGGGCGCAAGCCUGAUCCAGCCAUGCCGCGUGCGGGAAGAAGGCCUUCGGGUUGUAAACCGCUUUUGUCAGGGAAGAAACGCUCUGGGCUAAUACCCCGGGGUAAUGACGGUACCUGAAGAAUAAGCACCGGCUAACUACGUGCCAGCCGCCGCCGUAAAAC
rnacentral:rRNA from 1 species